UUGCAUAAUUCUGGACGUGAGUAGUUUCACGUCAAUUUUCACUGAUUAAACAUUUGUAAUUUAAGGCAUUAUAUGUCAAAUAAAAGGUUACGUAUUUUACGUAGUAUUUUGAACUCUGGUAUAAGGAAUACUUUGCAUAUCAAUUUUUGGGUCGGCGACCCCGUUUUCUACAGAAAAUUUGAGUGAAAAGGUGGGAUCAGUCACGAUGGCGUGGUGUACACAAACAAAGGAAUUUCGGAACAAAGAAUAUUCACUACCGGUAAAGAUGGCUGUGGUCAAGGGCCUCAAAGUGCAACUUUUUGGUCAUUCUUUUGUCAAAAGGCUGAAGGACUACAUUCAAAAUGACAGCUCACAGCGUCACGAUUUAAACUUGCAAUGAAAUGCUCUUGUUCAAUAUUCCGGAUUCCCGGGCGCUACAGUAAAGGAAUUGAGGAGACAUCUGGAAGAGGUUAGUGAUUUCAGUCCAAACAUUCUUGUGCUGAUCAUUGGGACAAUCGACAUCUACAAUUCGGAUGUUACUCCGGAAAGUGUUGCUCGGGAUAUUGAGAAUUUAAUAGACACUCUUUUGUUUGUGAUUGGAGUGGGAAAAUUCAUAGUGUUACAAGUUUUACACAGACAGGUUCCGUUAUCUCAUACAAGAUAUCCAGUCGACGUGGAUUGGUUCAAUGAACGUGUUGACGAUAUGAAUUUCCAUCUGAUAGAGAUGCUCAAUUGCACUGGUCAUGGUCGUUCAUACCUAUGGCGUAUGAAGGGGUUUUGGUCUCCUGCUUCCAAACAACAAAAUUUUGCAGACGAUGGUUGAUACCUGUCCAGUGCCGGUCAGCUCCACCUAAUUACAAAUGUCAGAGCUGCUGUGGUCGCCUCCCUGAAGGGUUCUAUUUGCCAUUCAUAAGAUACAUCAUGAAACGCACCAGCCGUCCUAAGAAGGGUACGCAUUCGGCGUGUACCUGUUGUUCCGGACAAAAACAAGCACACAAGCGCAAAAACAAUGAUGCCCCAACCUCAACAAAAGGCAAAGGCCCGAAAAAACAAAAGACUCACAACAUUCUGCCCCUGGAGGCCAAUCUAGAUGACGAUGUGAAUGACAACUUCAGCAGUGAUGAAGAAACAUCGGUUCGUUUGCCAGCUGCUCCAAGUACAGCAACAACCCUUGGUGUACAAACAUCCUCAUCUGCGAGUCCUCACAUGCCAGCAGUUCCCCCGCAUCUACCAGUAGAAUCAGAUUCUUCUUCAGACUCCGAAUCGGAUGAAGACGAUCACUAUCUCUUCCCAAGCUUAAAAUAGGCCGUGUCUCAACACACAAAUUCCUUGGCAGGCAAUGGCAUUCAGUUCGCAGAACCCGUUGGCACUCCAAUCAUUAAUCAAAUUAAAAGUAAGACGCGCAAACUUAUUUGGAAGAAUAAGUUUGUGGAUAUGGCGUUUCUGCUGCCGUCAUCGCAAAAUCCGUCCACUCCGCAAUUUACACUCCAACUGGACGACCAACACAAUUUUACCAUUAACCUAACUUCACGUAGCAAAACAAAAUCAAUACCAUUGAAGCAUGGACCACAGCAUUCAUUAGAUUCAUGGCCGUUUACCUACACAAAUACCCCUUUGAGGCCCAACAGCUCCUGAAAUAUAUGGAUAUUGUACGCGACAUUGCCAGGCGCCGCCCCGGGAUGGCCUUUCUCUAUUACGACACGCAGUUUCGCUUGCUGCGCGAGUCAGUUCUUAUGCCCUGAGACCGUAUUCAUACGGAAUAUUGGUUAAUGGCCUGCAUGUCUUUCCAACAACCGCAGCAGCCCUUUCGGCUCAAGCAACCACAAAACAGGUCAUACAGUACUGGACCCCCCUCCAACGGUUUCUCGAAAAAAAAUAUGCUGGCAUUUCAAUAAGCGAACCUUUUGUCGUAACCCAAAAUGCACACAGCCCCACAUCUGUGGCUUUUGUAGAGGUCCACAUGCAGCAUACAACUGCAAAUUCAGAAACAAAGAACAGGCAUCCAAAGCCCAGUCUCAAUCAAACAUCGACCCUGCUAAGUCAACAAAGUAACAAUCUUGUAGUUACCCCAAUAAAAGUCUCUGCACUAACACCAUUUCUUCAGGACUAUCCAUUAGCACACUAUCUGAUUUUAUGUUUUACACAUGGUUUUAAAUUGGGUUACACAGGUCAACACAAGGCUUCCACAUCCCCAAAUCUGAAGUCUUGUGAUGAGAACCCUGACAUAGUGCAAAGUAAACUUCAGGCAGAACUAAAUUCAGGUCGUGUAAAAGGCCCCUUUACGUCCCCUCCUUUCGAAAACUUCCGGGUAAGUCCCAUUGGCCUUGUUCCCAAGAAAACACCGGGACAAUUUAGGUUGAUUCAACAUCUAAGUUAACCACGCGGAAAUUCCGUGAACGAUUUUAUAGAUCCUAACUUAUCUAGUGUUAACUAGAGUUCCUUUGAUGAUGCAGUCAACAAACUACUGGAACUGGGUACAGGAACCUUAUUCUGUAAAACGGACAUAGAUUCUGCUUUUCGUUUACUUCCUAUUCAUGCAAACGAUCAUCACUUAUUAGGGUUCAAAUUUAGGGGUCAGUAUUAUUUUGAUACGUGUCUUCCAAUGGGAGCGUCCUCAUUCUGUGCAAUUUGUGAACGUUUUAGUUGAAGCCUUCAACACAUUUCGGAAAAUAUCUUAAAAAUUAAACACAUGGUACACAUUCUCGAUGAUUUUCUCAUAUUAGGCCCUGCAAACUCACACAGCUGUCAACAUGAUCUUAACAAAUUCCUUAAUUUCUGUUCAAAAAUAGGCGUUCCGAUUAAAGAGGAAAAAACAGAGAAUGCUCGAACUAUUAUCAUUUUUAUGGGUCUUGAACUAGAUUCUAAUAUGAUGGACGCCCGCUUGCCUCAAGACAAAUUGGAAAAAAUGAGGAUGCAACUUGCCUCAGUAGCAAAGCAUCGCAAGGUCACCCUUAAAGAAUUACAAUCCCUUCUAGGUUUGUUAAAUUUCUGCUGCCAGUGCGAGCUAUGUUCUUAGUAGCCUUUUUCGGACUAUUACGGGUCGGCGAAUUGGCACAUUCACCGAAAGGUUUUCAAAACACCAUUAAACGGGCAUACAUUAACUUGAAAUAUAAACAGUCACAAGUUGUUUCGAUCUCCAUUACAUUACGCAAUUAUAAACGUUCGCAUGGCCAAGUCUCUAUUAUUCCCCUUGCACGCCAAUCAAACUAAAGGUUAUGUCCAGUUCACGCGUUGAUGAAAAAUUUACGCAUAUCACCACCCAGUCAUGGCCAGCUAUUUAGAGACAAUAACAAUUAACCAGUUUCUACCACGUAUUUCAGAUCGGUCUUACGUUUGUGUGUUCUAGCAAACAACAUGGAUCCAAAGUUCUUUACAGCCCAUUCAUUUCGCAUUAGUGGUGCUACUCAUGCUCACAAUUCCAAUAUGUCCGUAUCACAAAUACAGAAGCUAGGUCGCUGGAAGACCAACGCAUACCUAAAAUAUAUCCGUCCCUCGGCUCUCCCUAUAUAAAUCAAGAUAAAGUCGCAACAAUACUCUGCUUACAUUUUUGAAUCUUUAAUCUUAAUUUUUCAGAUGAUCUGACGGUCAUAGGCAGCAGAUCAAUUUUUUCAUAAUUUUGACCACAUGAAAAUUCCUUGAUGUUUUUUAAGAUCUGUCGGUUUUAGGCAGCAGAUCUUUUUAAACAAUAUCAUAAGAGAACUGAAUGCCAUUGCCAACUUUCUCAGUGCUGUCGGUCAACGCCGCAGCCAUGAUAUUGACUUUCAAUGAUUGUCACAUUAUAACGUACAGAACAUAGCUGAUGGUUUAAGGCCACAGUUGAAACAUUUGCUUAAGCUGAUGGUUUUAGGCCACAGUUUUGAAAUUUGACCUGGCUGAUGGUUUAAGGCCACAGUAACUGCUGUGUAAUUUGUUUUGGCUGAUGGUUUAAGGCCACAGUCACGAAAUUUGUCUUAAAUGAUGUCAGUUUGAAGCCGCAAUUGUACAAACUCUAGUAUUAUUUCACAGUAAAGAAGUGCGGGUACCUGUGACAGUCAAUGUAAAUAUGAUUAUUUGUUAUAAAUGUGCUUGCAUAAUACGAACAAUUGAGAGCAGAAUGGUCCGCAGUUGUCGUUAUGAUGUGUCUUUGUUAUACAGCUGUAUAUUAUUUGUCUGUCAGUAUUUUUUUGUAAUUCGUAUAUUUCGUCUCCAAAGUUGUUAGCAAUAACCACUUAUGUAUCAUAUGUGGUCUUUGUCAUGGAUGGGCAAGUCCUUUAUCUAUAUUUAUGAUCAUUUACAUUGCCUUCUGUCUACUGGUAUUGACCAUUUAUUCUGUAUAGGUUGUACAUGUAUAGAUUUAGAUAAUUAAUGCCCUUUACAUGUAUCAUCCACGUGUUUGAUGAUAUGCUGAAAUCCACUUUCAAGUAUUGUGUUUAUACGUGUAUAUGUUAAGAGGCUGCAGAGUCUUUUUUAUAUGUAGGUCAAUGCAAAUAUGAUGAUCCAUCUCUAAUUGUCUGGCAUCAUAUUAUCUCUGUCCACGGUCGAGCUCGUUCCAGUCUUAAGUCUCUCUGGGCGGCGGUUCCCUUUUGGCGGUUUUUUGCCUCCCAGUUAUGUACAUUAGGGAAAACAUUUAUUAUAUGUUUGCUUUGAUUAUGUAUUACGUAAUCAUGUAUUUGUCAGUUUAUGGCAUUUAUAAUAAAUGCCCAGUUUUCAUUCAAACAUAGUUUUCAGUUUUCCCUUUUUCCCAUAAUCGAGUUCGACCUAGACUGUUAUCUCUCCCCCGACCUUGGGCAAUACAUAAAUAACAUUUUAUGCCAACAUAAUUUUUUUUAUGUCAUUGACCUCCCCACUCUCUAUUUUAUAUUAGCCGGGAAUGUUCUGAAGGGAAAUUGCAUUUAACCAUAAAGUUUAUAAAAACAUUGUGUUGCCAGAUUGUUUACAUUAACACACUCUGUUGAAAGAGCAUUAAUUUUACCAUGCUAUUGUUUAUACUGCAGCAAAAUGAGUUCAUGAAUAGAUGUUUGACAUUUAAAAAGCUGUUAGAAUAAGCUUUGAUAGACUAGCAGUUUUGGAACUUUCGAGAGGCCAGUCUUUGAAUAAUUCUGGACGUGAGUAGUUUCACGUCAAUGUUCACUGAUUUAAAAUCCACCUCCUCCCAUGCCUCCUCCUCUUAGUUUAUCAUGCUUACAUUCUAUCUAUUUUCGUUAUAUGUGUUUUACACAGUUGCAAGAUAGUUAAAUGAUUUACUUUGCUUUACAUUAUAGCCUUUUUAGUUCUAUUGUUUUAUUUGAUUUGCAAUUAUGCAAUUCUAGUCUUCAAAGUUGCCAAUUUUGAUUGAAUACAUGCAUGAUUCUAGUCUUUUGGUCGGCGGUUUUUUGCCUCCCUGUUAUGUACAUUAGGGAAAACAUUUAUAAUAUGUUGGCUUUUAUUAUGUAUUACGUAAUCAUGUAUUUGUCAGUUUAAGGCAUUUAUAAUAAAUGCCCAGUUUUCAUGCCUCCCAGUUAUGUACAUUAGGGAAAACAUUUAUAAUAUGUUUGCUUUGAUUAUGUAUUACGUAAUCAUGUAUUUGUCAGUUUAUGGCAUUUAUAAUAAAUGCCCAGUGGCGGUUUUUUGCCUCCCAGUUAUGUACAUAAGGGAAAACAAUUAUAAUAUGUUUGCUUUGAUUAUGUAUUACGUAAUCAUGUAUUUGUCAGUUUAUGGCAUUUAUUAUAAAUGCCCAGUGGCGGUUUUUUGCCUCCCAGUUAUGUACAUUAGGGAAAACAAUUAUAAUAUGUUUGCUUUGAUUAUGUAUUACGUAAUCAUGUAUUUGUCAGUUUAUGGCAUUUAUAAUAAAUGCCCAGUUUUCAUUCAAAUAGUUUUCUGUUUUCCCUUUUUCCCAUAAUCGAGUUCGACCUAGACUGUUAUCUCUCCCCCGACCUUGGGCAAUACAUAAAUAACAUUUUAUGCCAACAUAAUUUUUUUUAUGUCAUUGACCUCCCCACUCUCUAUUUUAUAUUAGCCGCGAAUGUUCUGAAGGGAAAUUGCAUUUAACCAUAAAGUUUAUAAAAACAUUGUGUUGCCAGAUUGUUUACAUUAACACACUCUGUUGAAAGAGCAUUAAUUUUACCAUGCUAUUGUUUAUACUGCAGCAAAUUGAGUUCAUGAAUAGAUGUUUGACAUUUAAAAAGCUGUUAGAAUAAGCUUUGAUAGACUAGCAGUUUUGGAACUUUCGAGAGGCCAGUCUUUGAAUAAUUCUGGACGUGAGUAGUUUCACGUCAAUUUUCACUGAUUUAAAAUCCACCUCCUCCCAUGCCUCCUCCUCUUAGUUUAUCAUGCUUACAUUCUAUCUAUUUUCGUUAUAUGUGUUUUACACAGUUGCAAGAUAGUUAAAUGAUUUACUUUGCUUUACAUUAUAGCCUUUUUAGUUCUAUUGUUUUAUUUGAUUUGCAAUUAUGCCAUUCUAGUCUUCAAAGUUGCCAAUUUUGAUUGAAUAUAUUUAUGAUUCUAGUCUUUGGGUCGGCGGUUUUUUGCCUCCCAGUUAUGUACAUUAGGGAAAACAUUUAUAAUAUGUUUGCUUUUAUUAUGUAUUACGUAAUCAUGUAUUUGUCAGUUAAAGGCAUUUAUAAUAAAUGCCCAGUUUUCAUGCCUCCCAGUUAUGUACAUUAGGGAAAACAUUUAUAAUAUGUUUGCUUUGAUUAUGUAUUACGUAAUCAUGUAUUUGUCAGUUUAUGGCAUUUAUAAUAAAUGCCCAGUGGCGGUUUUUUGCCUCCCAGUUAUGUACAUUAGGGAAAACAAUUAUAAUAUGUUUGCUUUGAUUAUGUAUUACGUAAUCAUGUAUUUGUCAGUUUAUGGCAUUUAUAAUAAAUGCCCAGUUUUCAUUCAAA